AGUGAACGCUGGCGGUAGGCCUAACACAUGCAAGUCGAACGGCAGCACAGUAAGAGCUUGCUCUUACGGGUGGCGAGUGGCGGACGGGUGAGGAAUACAUCGGAAUCUACUUUUUCGUGGGGGAUAACGUAGGGAAACUUACGCUAAUACCGCAUACGACCUACGGGUGAAAGCAGGGGAUCUUCGGGCCUUGCGCGAUUGAAUGAGCCGAUGUCGGAUUAGCUAGUUGGCGGGGUAAAGGCCCACCAAGGCGACGAUCCGUAACCGGUCUGAGAGGAUGAUCAGCCACACUGGAACUGAGACACGGUCCAGACUCCUACGGGAGGCAGCAGUGGGGAAUAUUGGACAAAGGGCGCAAGCCUGAUCCAGCCAUACCGCGUGGGUGAAGAAGGCCUUCGGGUUGUAAAGCCCUUUUGUUGGGAAAGAAAAGCAGCAGGUUAAUACCCCGCUGUUCUGACGGUACCCAAAGAAUAAGUACCGGCUAACUUCGUG
rnacentral:rRNA from 1 species